AAACAUACUUGCUAUUAAAUUCAAACAAGACAAGAGCAAAUAAGUCAAAAUAGAUUUUUAUAUAAGUUCUGCAACAUUAGUGUUUACUCCAAAAAAUAUGUAUUUAUAUCUUCAAUUCACUAACUUUUCCAUUUUAACCCUUGUGUUGUCUUCCCGUCGACCACACAGAUUUUUGUCAUUCUGGGU